AGCGAACGCUGGCGGCAGGCUUAACACAUGCAAGUCGAGCGGGCAUCCUUGUGGUGUCAGCGGCAGACGGGUGAGUAACGCGUGGGAACGUGCCCUUCGGUUCGGAAUAACUCAGGGAAACUUGAGCUAAUACCGGAUACGCCCUUUUGGGGAAAGGUUUACUGCCGAAGGAUCGGCCCGCGUCUGAUUAGCUAGUUGGUGAGGUUAUGGCUCACCAAGGCGACGAUCAGUAACUGGUCGGAGAGGAUGAUCAGCCACACUGGGACUGAGACACGGCCCAGACUCCUACGGGAGGCAGCAGUGGGGAAUAUUGUACGAGGGGGGCAACCCUGAUCCAGCCAUGCCGCGUGAGUGAUGACGGCCUUAGGGUUGUAAAGCUCUUUUCGCCGGGACGAUAAUGACGGUACCGGAGGAAGAAGCCCCGGCUAACUUCGUG
rnacentral:rRNA from 1 species